rnacentral:rRNA from 1 species
UACGGAAGGCAGCGGUGGGGAAUAUUGCACAAUGGGCGCAAGCCUGAUGCAGCCAUGCCGCGUGUAUGAAAAAGGCCUUCGGGUUGUAAAGUACUUUCAGUCGUGAGGAAGGUGUUAAGGUUAAUAACCUUAGCAAUUGACGUUAGCGACAGAAGAAGCACCGGCUAACUCCGUGCCAGCAGCCGCGGUAAUACGGAGGGUGCGAGCGUUAAUCGGAAUUACUGGGCGUAAAGGGCACGCAGGCGGUUAAUUAAGUUGGAUGUGAAAUCCCCGGGCUUAACCUGGGAAUGGCAUUCAAGACUGGUUAGCUAGAGUCUUGUAGAGGGGGUAGAAUUCCAUGUGUAGCGGUGAAAUGCGUAGAGAUGUGGAGGAAUACCGGUGGCGAAGGCGGCCCCUGGACAAAGACUGACGCUCAUGUGCGAAAGCGUGGGGAGCGAAACAGGGAUUAGAUACC